rnacentral:rRNA from 1 species
CACCGCGGUUAUACGAGAGGCCCAAGUUGUUAGUUACCGGCGUAAAGCGUGGUUAAAAUAAACAUAUAACUAAAGCCGAAAACCUUCAAGGCUGUUAUACGCAUCCGAAAGUAAAAAGACCAAUUACGAAAGUAGCUUUAUUUAUUUGAACCCACGAAAGCUGUGGCA